GGCCUUGUAUUGGCAUGAAGUCACCUCAUAAUCGUGGUGUCGGCGGUUCAAGUCCGCCCAUAGCCACCA
rnacentral:tRNA from 2 species